CAAUAGCGUAUAUUAAAGUUGUUGCGGUUAAAAAGCUCGUAGUUGGAUUUCUGUUGAGGACGACCGGUCCGCCCUCUGGGUGAGUAUCUGGCUCGGCCUUGGCAUCUUCUUGGAGAACGUAACUGCACUUGACUGUGUGGUGCGGUAUCCAGGACUUUACUUGAGGAAAUUAGAGUGUUUCAAGCAGGCGUACGCCUUGAAUACAUUAGCAUGGAAUAAUGGAAUAGGACGCUGGUUCUAUUUUGUUGGUUUUGAGAACCAGAGUAAUGAUUAAUAGGGACAGUUGGGGGCAUUCAUAUUUCAUUGUCAGAGGUGAAAUUCUUGGAUUUAUGAAAGAUGAACUUCUGCGAAAGCAUUUGCCAAGGAUGUUUUCAUUAAUCAAGAUCGAAAGUCAGAGGUUCGAAGACGAUUAGAU
rnacentral:rRNA from 1 species